AGCGAACGCUGGCGGCAGGCCUAACACAUGCAAGUCGAACGAACCUUUCGGGGUUAGUGGCGGACGGGUGAGUAACACGUGGGAACGUGCCUUUAGGUUCGGAAUAACUCAGGGAAACUUGUGCUAAUACCGAAUGUGCCCUUCGGGGAAAGAUUUAUCGCCUUUAGAACGGCCCGCGUCCGAUUAGCUAGUUGGUUGAGGUAAUGGCUCACCAAGGCGACGAUCAGUAGCUGGUCUGAGAGGAUGAUCAGCCACAUUGGGACUGAGACACGGCCCAAACUCCUACGGGAGGCAGCAGUGGGGAAUCUUGCGCAAUGGGCGAAAGCCUGACGCAGCCAUGCCGCGUGAAUGAUGAAGGUCUUAGGAUUGUAAAAUUCUUUCACCGGGGACGAUAAUGACGGUACCCGGAGAAGAAGCCCCGGCUAACUUCGUG
rnacentral:rRNA from 1 species